CAGGGAAUCUUCCACAAUGGACGCAAGUCUGAUGGAGCAACGCCGCGUGAGUGAAGAAGGUUUUCGGAUCGUAAAGCUCUGUUGUUGGUGAAGAAGGAUAGAGGCAGUAACUGGUCUUUAUUUGACGGUAAUCAACCAGAAAGUCACGGCUAACUACGUGCCAGCAGCCGCGGUAAUACGUAGGUGGCAAGCGUUGUCCGGAUUUAUUGGGCGUAAAGCGAGCGCAGGCGGAAUGAUAAGUCUGAUGUGAAAGCCCACGGCUCAACCGUGGAACUGCAUCGGAAACUGUCAUUCUUGAGUGCAGAAGAGGAGAGUGGAAUUCCAUGUGUAGCGGUGGAAUGCGUAGAUAUAUGGAAGAACACCAGUGGCGAAGGCGGCUCUCUGGUCUGCAACUGACGCUGAGGCUCGAAAGCAUGGGUAGCGAACAGG
rnacentral:rRNA from 1 species